UUCGAAAUUAAGUUCGCCUACUAGGUGUUAAGUGAUACUUGAAUAACCUAUAUUUCGUAGGUCUUGUUUGUGCAUGUACGCGAAAAUCGAAAGGUUAUAACUGUCAGAUCAAUAGAUUGACGUUUAACUUCCUUUUUCAAUAAAUACUCAAGUGAGUGCUCUUAUAUAUUUUUUCUAUAUAAGGAGAGUAAGAUUUUGGAACUUUUCCAAUAAAUCUUUUCUUCGUAAGGAACUUUGCAGUUCUUCUUUUCUAGAUUUCUUAUUUACGAUGGACUCUCCCCAAGGCGAACCUUCUGAUCCUAAUCCACCACGAUUCCCUUCGAGUGAAUCCCUGUUUCCGACGGGAGAUGGAUUUACUCCACACGGGGUGGCCAUUCCUUGUUUUCUUUCUUCCAUGUCUAAGGAAGAAAAGAUAGAGUGCCAUGAAUUCAUGGAACAGGUUUGACCUCGAUACCAGUUGUUUCAAAGUUUUACCCGAUAAAUUCGUAAUGCAUCUGUUCUUUGCAGGUCACCGAAAGGUACGUUUUCCUCUGCUCCGAAAGGUACGUUUUCCUCUGCUCCGAAAGGCAACGCCUUG
rnacentral:lncRNA from 1 species